CAGUUGAAUAAAGACCGUACCGUAAACCAACACAGGUGGGUAGGAUGAGAAUUCUAAGGCGCUUGAGAGAACUCAGGAGAAGGAACUCGGCAAAAUAGCACCGUAACUUCGGGAAAAGGUGUGCCCUUUGUAUGUGUAGCGCUUCGCGCGUGAAGCAGAAUAGGGUUGCAAUGAAAUGGUGGCUGCGACUGUUUAAUAAAAACAUAGCACUCUGCAAACACGAAAGUGGACGUAUAGAGUGUGACGCCUGCCCGGUGCCGGAAGGUUAAAUGAUGGGGUGCAAGCUCUUGAUUGAAGCCCCGGUAAACGGCGGCCGUAACAAUAACGGUCCUAAGGUAGCGAAAUUCCUUGUCGGGUAAGUUCCGACCUGCACGAAUGGCGUAACGAUGGCCACACUGUCUCCUCCUGGGACUCAGCGAAGUUGAAAUGUUUGUGAAGAUGCAAUCUCCCCGCGGCUAGACGGAAAGACCCCGUGCACCUUUACUGUAGCUUUACAUUGGACUUUGAUAACAUUUGUGUAGGAUAGGUGGGAGGCUUUGAAGUGGAUUCGCAAGAAUUCAUGGAGCCAACGUUGAAAUACCACCCUGAUGUUGUUGAGGUUCUAACCUAGAUCCAUUAUCUGGAUUGGGGACCGUGUAUGGUAGGCAGUUUGACUGGGGCGGUCUCCUCCCAAAUUGUAACGGAGGAGUACGAAGGUACGCUAAGUACGGUCGGAAAUCGUGCUGAUAGUGCAAUGGCAAAAGCGUGCUUAACUGCGAGACUGACAAGUCGAGCAGAUGCGAAAGCAGGUCAUAGUGAUCCGGUGGUUCUGUAUGGAAGGGCCAUCGCUCAACGGAUAAAAGGUACGCCGGGGAUAACAGGCUGAUUCCUCCCAAGAGUUCAUAUCGACGGGGGAGUUUGGCACCUCGAUGUCGGCUCAUCACAUCCUGGGGCUGUAGCCGGUCUCAAGGGUAUGGCUGUUCGCCAUUUAAAGUGGUACGUGAGCUGGGUUUAAAACGUCGUGAGACAGUUUGGUCCCUAUCUGCCGUGGGCGUUGGAAGUUUGAGUGGACCCGCUCCUAGUACGAGAGGACCGGAGUGGACGCACCUCUGGUGUACCGGUUAUGACGCCAGUCGUAUCGCCGGGUAGCUAUGUGCGGAAGAGAUAACCGCUGAAAGCAUCUAAGCGGGAAACUCUCCUCAAGAUAAGACUUCCCGAGGGUUUAACCCUCCUAAAGGUUCGUCGAAGACUACGACGUUGAUAGGUCGGGUGUGGAGGCAUAGUGAUAUGUUAAGCUAACCGAUACUAAUUGACCGUGAGGCUU
rnacentral:rRNA from 1 species